GGCCAAGGGCACCUGCUCAUCUGUGCCUGUGUGUCUAGCUGCAAAGAAAUGAGGAUAUCGGACCAGAGAAUUUCUAAGGCCCUUGCAGCUCUGAGCUCAAUGAUAUGAGCACUUUUACCCAGCGCUUACUGAACGCCAGGCCUGUACCAAACUCAGCGCGCCCUGCAGAGGCGUUGCUGUACACGCCCAGUUUGAGGCUGCAAGCUGUCCUUCAAAAUCAGGCCCCCUUCCUAGCAAACACACAGCCAGAGUUCAUUCCCAGCAUCCCUUGCAGCUAUGAAUGGCCACAAGAUCAAGUUCUAGUGGUGGGAACUGAGCAGAAACCACGUGAGCCCCUUGGGAACCUCAGCCAAAAGACUGUGGGGCUCCUUGUCCGUGUUCUCAGUUCCUCGCUCACACAAGGCCUGUGACCUGGCCUUGACGGUGAUGAGAACAGCGUCCCGAGGAGAAGAGCAGAUGGAAGUGAAAGGACAGCUUAGCCUUCCCUAAUGCACCCACCUGGCGGAUGUGUAAAACACCCAGAGAAGCUUGAGCUGACGGCUGGAAAGGAUGCGGGCUCUCCUGCUGUCACAUCGCUGGAUCCUGAUGCCUCCAGAAUGUUUCGAGCUGGAUUCUGUGCCAGCCUCUCUGCCUCUCCCCUGAGGUCUGGCAGGAAACCCAAGGCUACAGUAAGAAGGUGGCCGUUUGCAAACCAGGACAGCGCUCGCCGGGAACCGAAUCUGCGGCACCUUGAACUC